rfam:Rhizobium etli plasmid p42b putative transcriptional regulator gene, partial cds; RepA (repA), RepB (repB), and RepC (repC) genes, complete cds; and putative galactosyltransferase LpsB1 (lpsB1) gene, partial cds.
AGUCAAGAGUCUUUGGCACCGAAUUUGGUGAGGCGUGAUCUUUUGCCUUGAAGAAGGCGAAGAAAAUG